rnacentral:rRNA from 1 species
AGACCCGAAACCCGGUGAUCUAGCCAUGGGCAGGUUGAAGGUUGGGUAACACUAACUGGAGGACCGAACCGACUAAUGUUGAAAAAUUAGCGGAUGACCUGUGGCUGGGGGUGAAAGGCCAAUCAAACCGGGAGAUAGCUGGUUCUCCCCGAAAGCUAUUUAGGUAGCGCCUCGUGAAUUCAUCUCCGGGGGUAGAGCACUGUUUCGGCUAGGGGGCCAUCCCGGCUUACCAACCCGAUGCAAACUGCGAAUACCGGAGAAUGUUAUCACGGGAGACACACGGCGGGUGCUAACGUCCGUCGUGAAGAGGGAAACAACCCAGACCGCCAGCUAAGGUCCCAAAGUCAUGGUUAAGUGGGAAACGAUGUGGGAAGGCCCAGACAGCCAGGAUGUUGGCUUAGAAGCAGCCAUCAUUUAAAGAAAGCGUAAUAGCUCACUGGUCGAGUCGGCCUGCGCGGAAGAUGUAACGGGGCUAAACCAUGCACCGAAGCUGCGGCAGCGACACUAUGUGUUGUUGGGUAGGGGAGCGUUCUGUAAGCCUGUGAAGGUGGCCUGUGAGGGUUGCUGGAGGUAUCAGAAGUGCGAAUGCUGACAUAAGUAACGAUAAAGCGGGUGAAAAGCCCGCUCGCCGGAAGACCAAGGGUUCCUGUCCAACGUUAAUCGGGGCAGGGUGAGUCGACCCCUAAGGCGAGGCCGAAAGGCGUAGUCGAUGGGAAACGGGUUAAUAUUCCCGUACUUGGUGUUACUGCGAAGGGGGGACGGAGAAGGCUAUGUUGGCCGGGCGACGGUUGUCCCGGUUUAAGCGUGUAGGUGUGUGUUCCAGGUAAAUCCGGUUCACUUUAAC